UACGUAGGGUGCAAGCGUUGUCCGGAAUUAUUGGGCGUAAAGAGCUCGUAGGCGGUCUGUCACGUCGGCUGUGAAAACCUGGGGCUCAACUCCGGGCCUGCAGCCGAUACGGGCAGACUAGAGUUCGGCAGGGGAGACUGGAAUUCCUGGUGUAGCGGUGAAAUGCGCAGAUAUCAGGAGGGACACCAAUGGCGAAGGCAGCUCACUGGGACGUUACUGACGCUGAGACGCGAAAGCGUGGGGAGCAAACAGG
rnacentral:rRNA from 1 species